GCGUCGCCUGAGAUCGGUGCCUGCGAAUGACUCAGAAUGAACGAGUUAAGGAGCUCAAAAAUAAAAAGUGAAACCUUCGCGCGACAGGAACCGAUACCAGAAGGAAUUCUGAAGGAAGGGUUGUGUCGAAUGUCCCGGUGCUUUUACAGUAAAGGGCAGGAACACUGAACAGGGCACCACAAAGAACAAUGAAGAAGCCGGACCCUUUUUUCUAGAAGAAGGAACUCCAUUUGAGCAGUAACACUUCAAAAAAAAAUCUACAGUAGGAUUAACUCUUCCCAGAACAUAGGGCUCUUAGCAUGGAUGACCUCGCUAAUCAUCUUUGCCAAUAAAUACUGUGAUUUCACCUUA